UAAACUACGAUUAGAUACCCUAUUAUUUUUAUUGUGAAAGUGUAAGGCCUGAGUAAUAUUAGAUAAGAUCUUGAAACUUAAAGAAUUUGGCGGCAUUAUAAUCUGUUUAGAGGAAUCUGUUGCAUAAUCGAUAAUCCACGAUGGACCUUACUUAAUUAUUUCUUGUAUAUCGCUGUUUGUGAUUAUAUUUAUAUAUAAUUUUCUAAAAAUUUUAUUAAAUAGUAUUUCAAGUCAAGGUGCAGUAGUAUUUAAGUGUUAAUGGAUUACAAUAAAUUUUAUUUAUUACGGAUUUAAUUUGAAUAAAAGUUGAGAAGGUGGAUUUAAUAGUAAUUUAAUGUAUUUUGUUUAAAUGAUUAAAGCUCUAUAAUGUGCACACAUCGCCCGUCGCUCUUA
rnacentral:rRNA from 1 species